UGAGUACGAGAUGCUACGGCAUCGAAGCAGUCUAUGUCAUACUUCCAAGAAAAGCUUGCACUGUCAUAAACAAAGAAUGCCUGUACCAUAACCGACACAGGUGGGUAGGUAGAGUAUACUAAGGGGCGCGAGAUAACUCUCUCUAAGGAACUCGGCAAAAUGACUCCGUAACUUCGGGAGAAGGAGUGCCUUAUUUCUAAGGUUGCAAUAACAAGAUCCAAGCAACUGUUUACCAAAAACACAGGUCUCCGCUAAGUCGUAAGACGAUGUAUGGGGGCUGACGCCUGCCCAGUGCCAGAAGGUUAAAGAAGUUGGUUAGCAUUAGCGAAGCUGAUAACUGAAGCCCUGGUGAACGGCGGCCGUAACAAUAACGGUCCUAAGGUAGCGAAAUUCCUUGUCGGGUAAGUUCCGACCCGCACGAAAGGCGUAAUGAUUUGGAUACUGUCUCGGAGAGGGGCUCGGUGAAAUAGACUUGUCUGUGAAGAUGCGGACUACCUGCACCUGGACAGAAAGACCCUAUGGAGCUUUACUGUGACUUGAGAUUGAAAUUGGACUUUAUUUGCGCAGUAUAGGUGGGAGGCGUUGAGAAUAAUCUUGCGGGAUUGUUGGAGCCAUCAGUGAGAUACCACUCUUGUAAUGUUAGAUUUCUAACUUUGUAUCAUUAUCUGGUCAAAGAGCAGUUUCAGGCGGGCAGUUUGACUGGGGCGGUCGCCUCCCAAAGGGUAACGGAGGCGCACAAAGGUUUCCUCUGAACGGGUAGAAAUCGUAUCUAGAGUGUAAAGGCAUAAGGAAGCUUGACUGUGAGACCUACAAGUCGAGCAGGGACGAAAGUCGGUCUUAGUGAUCUGACGGUGCUGAGUGGAAAGGCCGUCACUCAACGGAUAAAAGUUACUCUAAGGAUAACAGGCUGAUCUCCCCCAAGAGUUCACAUCGACGGGGAGGUUUGGCACCUCGAUGUCGGCUCAUCGCAUCCUGGGGCGGUAGUCCGUCCCAAGGGUUGGGCUGUUCGCCCAUGAAAGCGGUACGCGAGCUGGGUUCAGAACGUCGUGAGACAGUUCGGUCCAUAUCCGGUGUAGGCGUUAGAAUAUUGAGAGGAGCCUUCUCUAGUACGAGAGGACCGAGAAGGACAUACCUCUGGUGUACCAGUUAUCGUGCCAACGGUAAACGCUGGGUAGCUAUGUAUGGAGUGGAUAACCGCUGAAAGCAUCUAAGUGGGAAGCCCACCUCAAGAUAAG
rnacentral:rRNA from 1 species